rnacentral:misc_RNA from 1 species
GUCGUCUUUGACGUUUCCCAUUAAAUUGGACGAACCCUAUUGAAUGAUGCAUUUGAACUUUUUAACUAUUACCCUACUUUGGCGUCAAAUGUUCCUCAAUCCUUUUAUCUUGUACAUAGUAAUACAUGUCUUGAAAAUAGCAAAAUAAAGUUGUUGACCCAUCUAGUCAUUCCUCCUUUUGCCAAUAGCUAAUCAAUGUUCUUCAGUCUUCGCUUAUAAAUCUUGAAAAAAGAACACAGAAAGCU